rnacentral:lncRNA from 1 species
CUCCAGGACUUUGCCCUGUUUGAGUUCCUGUCCUGACUUCCUUCAGCGGUGAACAGCAAUGCUGAAGUGAAUCCUCGGAGGUCUGUCAUCAACAAGAGGCAAGAAGAGACUUGACCAAGGAUCUCUAGAUGAUACCCCAGAUGAGAGCUACAGGUCCAGCGUCGCUUGGAGCCCCACCACACCAGAAGAGGAAGGCAGGAGCCUGAGGCUCUGCAGGGAGUGCUACCUGUCUGCCAUACACCCCCUGCCUCUGAUGAUGGCAGUGAAUAGCCAGUGAGUGCCCUGUCCCACAGCACCUACAAAGGGUGAUUGCUCUAGAGUCACAGUAGCUGCAAGCAAGGGACACUUUCCACUCUCUAUCAGCCUAAGGCAGCAUUUACAGACUCGGAACCCACAAAGGACAGGGAGCCAGCAGCUGAUACUGAAGGGCUAUGAGGGCCCUGUUUUUGAUGAGGCAGCCUGCAUCCCCCCCUGAGGCAGCUGGAUGAGGCAGUGUUAAU